rnacentral:rRNA from 1 species
UACGUAGGGGGCAAGCGUUGUCCGGAAUUAUUGGGCGUAAAGCGCGUGUAGGCGGUCAGGUAGGUCGGUUGUGAAAACUGGAGGCUCAACCUUCAGACGUCGACCGAAACCAUCUGGCUAGAGUCCGGGAGAGGAGAGUGGAAUUCCUGGUGUAGCGGUGAAAUGCGCAGAUAUCAGGAAGAACACCCGUGGCGAAAGCGGCUCUCUGGAACGGUACUGACGCUGAGACGCGAAAGCGUGGGGAGCGAACAGG